rnacentral:rRNA from 1 species
AUGAACGCUAGCUACAGGCUUAACACAUGCAAGUCGAGGGGCAGCAUGGUCUUAGCUUGCUAAGGCCGAUGGCGACCGGCGCACGGGUGAGUAACACGUAUCCAACCUGCCGUCUACUCUUGGACAGCCUUCUGAAAGGAAGAUUAAUACAAGAUGGCAUCAUGAGUCCGCAUGUUCACAUGAUUAAAGGUAUUCCGGUAGACGAUGGGGAUGCGUUCCAUUAGAUAGUAGGCGGGGUAACGGCCCACCUAGUCUUCGAUGGAUAGGGGUUCUGAGAGGAAGGUCCCCCACAUUGGAACUGAGACACGGUCCAAACUCCUACGGGAGGCAGCAGUGAGGAAUAUUGGUCAAUGGGCGAGAGCCUGAACCAGCCAAGUAGCGUGAAGGAUGACUGCCCUAUGGGUUGUAAACUUCUUUUAUAAAGGAAUAAAGUCGGGUAUGGAUACCCGUUUGCAUGUACUUUAUGAAUAAGGAUCGGCUAACUCCGUGCCAGCAGCCGCGGUAAUACGGAGGAUCCGAGCGUUAUCCGGAUUUAUUGGGUUUAAAGGGAGCGUAGAUGGAUGUUUAAGUCAGUUGUGAAAGUUUGCGGCUCAACCGUAAAAUUGCAGUUGAUACUGGAUAUCUUGAGUGCAGUUGAGGCAGGCGGAAUUCGUGGUGUAGCGGUGAAAUGCUUAGAUAUCACGAAGAACUCCGAUUGCGAAGGCAGCCUGCUAAGCUGCAACUGACAUUGAGGCUCGAAAGUGUGGGUAUCAAACAGGAUUAGAUACCCUGGUAGUCCACACGGUAAACGAUGAAUACUCGCUGUUUGCGAUAUACUGCAAGCGGCCAAGCGAAAGCGUUAAGUAUUCCACCUGGGGAGUACGCCGGCAACGGUGAAACUCAAAGGAAUUGACGGGGGCCCGCACAAGCGGAGGAACAUGUGGUUUAAUUCGAUGAUACGCGAGGAACCUUACCCGGGCUUAAAUUGCAGAUGAAUUACGGUGAAAGCCGUAAGCCGCAAGGCAUCUGUGAAGGUGCUGCAUGGUUGUCGUCAGCUCGUGCCGUGAGGUGUCGGCUUAAGUGCCAUAACGAGCGCAACCCUUGUUGUCAGUUACUAACAGGUUCCGCUGAGGACUCUGACAAGACUGCCAUCGUAAGAUGUGAGGAAGGUGGGGAUGACGUCAAAUCAGCACGGCCCUUACGUCCGGGGCUACACACGUGUUACAAUGGGGGGUACAGAGGGCCGCUACCACGCGAGUGGAUGCCAAUCCCCAAAACCUCUCUCAGUUCGGACUGGAGUCUGCAACCCGACUCCACGAAGCUGGAUUCGCUAGUAAUCGCGCAUCAGCCACGGCGCGGUGAAUACGUUCCCGGGCCUUGUACACACCGCCCGUCACACCAUGAGAGCCGGGGGGACCCGAAGUCGGUAGUCUAACCGCAAGGAGGACGCCGCCGAAGGUAAAACUGGUGAUUGGGGUG